AACGAACGCUGGCGGCGCGCCUAAUACAUGCAAGUCGAACGGCAGCACAGCAGAGCUUGCUCUGUGGGUGGCGAGUGGCGGACGGGUGAGGAAUACAUGGGAAUCUGCCCAGUCGUGGGGGAUAACGUAUGGAAACGUACGCUAAUACCGCAUGCGCCCUAAGGGGGAAAGCCGGGGACCGCAAGGCCUGGCGCGAUUGGAUGAGCCCAUGUUCGAUUAGCUAGUUGGCGGGGUAAAGGCCCACCAAGGCGACGAUCGAUAGCUGGUCUGAGAGGAUGAUCAGCCACACUGGAACUGAGACACGGUCCAGACUCCUACGGGAGGCAGCAGUAGGGAAUAUUGGACAAUGGGGGCAACCCUGAUCCAGCCAUGCCGCGUGAGUGAAGAAGGCCCUCGGGUUGUAAAGCUCUUUUGUCCGGAAAGAAAAGCAAUCGGUUAAUACCCGGUUGUUCUGACGGUACCGGAAGAAUAAGCACCGGCUAACUUCGUGCCAGC
rnacentral:rRNA from 1 species